ACUCAAAUGAAUUGACGGGGGCCCGCACAAGCGGUGGAGCAUGUGGUUUAAUUCGACGCAACGCGAAGAACCUUACCUAGGCUUGAACUGUUGGUAGUAGAAGGAAUGAAAGUUUCGACGAACCGUCAAGUCGGUUGCCAAUAGAGGUGCUGCAUGGCUGUCGUCAGCUCGUGUCGUGAGAUGUUGGGUUAAGUCCCGCAACGAGCGCAACCCUUAUCCUAUGUUGCCAGGCCCGCAAGGGCGGAACUCUUAGGAAACUGCCUCGGAUAACGGGGAGGAAGGUGGGGAUGACGUCAAGUCACCAUGGCCUUUAUGUCUAGGGCUACACACGUGCUACAAUGGCCGGUACAGCGAGCAGCAAAUCCGCAAGGACGAGCAAAUCUCUUAAAGCCGGCCCCAGUUCAGAUAGUGGGCUGCAAUUCGCCCACUUGAAGGUGGAAUCGCUAGUAAUCGGAGAUCAGCUGGCUCCGGUGAAUACGUUCCCGGGCCUUGCACACACCGCCCGU
rnacentral:rRNA from 1 species